UGACCCGCUCGUUGAUGGUGCGCAGCAGCGACGUCUCCGGGACGCCGAGCGAGGGGUUCUCCCGCUCCGCUGUCAGGUCCAGCGGCAGGUCGUC
rnacentral:tRNA from 1 species